GGGUGUUCCUGGUACCAGUUCUGCUUGCUGCCGCCGUACCGGUGGCAGUGUACGCGGCGCGGAGCUGGCGCCGCGGCCGACUGCUGAAGCUCAGCCGCUCCUGGCUGCUGCGACACCUACUGCCGGGGCUGACGCUUGCCCUGAUCGCUGUCGGAAUAUUCACCGGCCUGGAGACAGUCGACAACUACCAGUACACGCACAGUGCGUGGCACCUGGCGCUCUCCCUGUCUCUGCUAGCCCUGCUGCCUGACGGCGGCCGGCGGGGCCCAUCACCCUCCGACCAGCUCCAGCUGAUAGCUGAGGACGCAGACAGCGACAGAGUAUCCUUUCGACACGAGCUGGAAGAGCUGGGAGCGGGCCGGGGGUCGCCGACCUUCUGUAGAUCGGACUCGGCCGCCCCCGUCCGUGCCGUGGUCGCCGCCCCGGGCACCGCUGGCAGCUAACACGGAAUGGAUACAGUGGAGACUUCUGACACAGCUGAGUUGGUUUCUGCGAAAGGUGCGUCCUCUGCAGUCUGAGGUACGACGAUCUAGGAGAAGUUAUGGUAGCUGGUAAGAGUGUGAUGACUGUUACAGAGUGGG